CUUUAGCGUAGCUCAGGGGAGACUGCAGGCCUCCCCUCAGACAAAGCUUUGGAAACGGCGCCCCACCCCCCACCACAUCUUUAGUUUACUUGCAGGAAGGGCAGAAGCAUCAACAUGCCUCCGUCAUGGACAAUCCACCACACAUCUAUGUGGCCUUCAGUGAAGCGCUCUCCAUUGGACGGGUAGCUGGAGAUAUUCUUAGGAACCAACAAGGCCAUACUGGCUACAGUCGUCUCUCUAACCACCUCUGCACAGGGACGCAAGAAUGGAACAAACAUUUCUGGCGCCAAACAGCACCACACAGGACAUAUCUGGGGAAACGCUGUUAGGAAAGGACCUAGGAUACACACAGUGGAUGUGGUGCUGAUGGCUGCAAUCGUGCCGAUGGGGAUCGACUUCUGAGCGUCACGCAGGUCUCCAGAGCGGUUGGAGCCUGCCAUGAUACCUGCGUUUCUGGUUCUAACCUGUGACAGAUGGGAAGUAUAUCCCGACCAGCAGGGUGAAGAAGCUGGUGAUGUCAGCUAGGACGUAGCGGUUGGAGCUGGUUGUGGGAUUGUCUGGAUCUGUGUCUGAUGCUAUCCCACGCUUCUCCAGCAACAUCCCUUUUUCCAGGCAUCUCCUACCUGCCAGGAUGCCGCUAGUGACCCCCGGGAUGCCCUGUAUCUCUGUGAUGUUGUUGUUGGUAAAGUAUUCGUCACAAGUGGCAUUAAGGGAGUCAGAAUCACAGAAGGACCUCCACAGUUUGGUGGUGAUGGUUUCAUUGUCUAUUUCGAUGAUUUUUGCACAGAUGUCGUAUGAUUUAGAAAGAAGAGUUCGAUUUCCCAGGAGGCAGACGCUGUAAAGAAAGUCAACAAAGGAAUCAUUGUCAAAAAAUUGGAUCAUCACCGGGAGACUUUGACCAGUGGAUGAACCAGUCACUUACGGGAAGACAGGGGGGUCGAUGGCGGUCUUGAUGACUCCGGCAUAAACAGCCAUGAUAGAGAGGAUGACACAGGCCAGGAAGACCAGCGCCAGCUUGUUCACAUAUUUGACCCCUACAAACACCACCAGUGCCAUUAAGCUCAGUACAAUGGUGCCGUACACCCGCAUGUUGUUGAGGAGAGCUAACUCUGCCUCAGGCCCCUCCAUGCCCUCGAUCUUGAAGAUGGCUGCCUGAGGAACAAUGUAAAUCUACAACAAUGGAAAGAUGGAGGGAAAAAGGUGGGGAGAAAGGAAAUAGAGGGAGGAGAGUACGGAAAGGUGUGGUGGAGUAUGGUGGUGAUGGGUGGAAGUACAAGGAAUAAAUAUGGUACACUGAUGUUAGAAUGCUACUUAAAUUUGAGCUUAAAUUUUUAUACAUUUGGUUUCCACAGUAAUGAAGAGCUGCCACAGCGAAGCAAAAAUUAUGUUCACAAACCCUUGUUAUAAUGUCAUAUAAUAAUUUAAACAGUCUGUUAAAACUAGAGCUGAAAUAAUUAAUUAUUCUACAGAAAAGUACUUAGCAACGACUUUUUAUAAUUGAUUGUUUCAGUAAUUUUUCAAGCAAAAAUGUCACAUCUUCCUGCCUACAGCUUCUCAAAUGUGACGAUUUAAUGCUUUUGUUUGUCAUAUGUGAUAUUAAACUCAAUAUUUUAGGGUUUCGGACAGUUUGUUGGAUAAAACACGUUUUAAUUAUGUUAACUUGGAUUUUGGGAAAUUGUGAUGGGCAUUUUUCACUAGAGACUAAAAAGGAAGACUUGGUAUGCUGUGUUGUAAUAAUGACAAAAUCUAUCUAAAUUCCCGUGCAAUGUACUCUUAUUUAAAUAGUUAUUAGCUACCCUUUCCUGCUAUGACAUGUCAAAAUGUCCGAGGUGAUAAAGGACUAUAUAGUAAAUAUAUAUGGUUGUAAGGAAAAUAUGCAGUAACAUGUCAGUUAUUUAAUAAUUAAUGCUACUUACCAGCAGAAUUUCAAUACAGCCAAGAAUGUACAUGGCACCUGCAAAAGUGGUGCCUAAGUAGAAGCAGAUCCCAACAGCUCCACCAAACUCAGGCCCCAGGGAGCGAGAGAUCAUGUAAUAUGAACCUCCAGCUGUGGGUCACACACACGAGAGAGUCAGUGCACUGUUCUGUUACACACAAACGCACUAUAACAUUUAAAGCCUUAGGUAUAAACUCACCUGGUACGACUCCAUUUGUUGCAAUGGCACUCAUGGAGAUGGCUGUGAGCAUUGUCUGAAAAAAAAAGAAGCAGCACAGGGUCACAGGAGUCUGAGAGGCAGCAGGUGGGCACGUCAAAUUAAAUAUGGCUGACAGCGAGGCCUUAAUGAACCGAGGGGGUGAGCGGAGAAAAACAUCCAGCAGCACAAGAGUCUGACUCAUCUGGUCAUGUUAAAUUGUUCAUUGCAGGGAUGACUACAUGGCUGGUUGGCACAUACUGUCCCUUCAGUGAUAAUCUCAUUGCCAGCCAGAGGCAGAAGGAAGAGAUCACAUUUACUGAAUAAGUAAUCAGGUUGUCCUAACUACACUUUUAAAGUACUUGAGUAUUUACAUUUUGUGAGAUACAGUUUCAUUGAUAGAAACAAUUGUGGUAAAAUAAAGGUGUAAUGAAAAUAAAAUGUUUCACCUGA